UGCUGGGAAAUGCAAGCACAAUGAAGCACAUUGGAGUGUCUAUCAGCUUUCCCAGAAUCCUCUUCUCCAAGGGAAAACUGCAUUCCAAAGCAGUGUGCAAAUGAUUUGGUCAUUGUCUUCUCUUUAGGAUUUUCUUCUCUGUUGGAACCGGAAGGGAAUGGAGAUCCUAUGAACCAGUUAUUAUUCCUGCUCCCGGCUGAAGCCCCAGGAGGCAUUUCUUGGCCUGCGCUGAAAUCCUUGGGGCCCUGUAUAGAUCUCAGCACUUCCCAGAGCUUCCACUUCUCUGUCUACUGGAUGGUCUUCUUUCAUCAAAACUUACCUUUUACAAUGAUCCUCCGUUAGAAAAGGACAUUAGAAUUCCUUUUCUUUCUUGGUUCCUGGUUUAUUUGGGUAAACUACAGCCUAUGCUUUGUUGCCUGGAGAGCAAAGGGGAACGAGAGGAGAGGACUCUAUUUAACCAACCUCCAACACUUGUCACCAUCUAAGAGGAGAUACAUUCUUUGGUUUGUAUACUAUCUAUUGUUCUCCUCGAGAAGGUAGACUUAGUGAGAGUUGGACCUCUGUUUUGGUUGCUACUACAUCCGUAACACCUAGAAUGGUGUCUGGCCCAUAGGAGACACUCUGGAAAUGCCUGUUGAAUGAAUGUACUUAAUUGUUUUUGAAGAAAUAUAUAAACACCUAGAGUAGCAACUCUGUUCUUUAUGAAUUGGAUUGUGAAAUGAUUGAAACAAAGGUUCUUUUGGCUCUUUGCAUUUCCUGGGUGCCGGAUGAUUAGGCUUUCAUCCGGCACCCAGGAAACCUUCAAAACCAACUUCAGUCUAAGUUUUCUCACACUCUGGUUUGUCUCAACAUGUGCAGUGCCCCAUGAUACCCACAACUUGACAUUUAGAUUAUUUCUUGCAAAUGGUUUAGAGCAGCAUCACACACCAUGGGGUGACAUGACUUCUCCCAGAGUAGAUGGAAUAUGGGAGAAACAGUCAGCAAAUGCUCUUUUGAUCAGUUUCAUGCUUCUCACUCCUUGAGAUGUACCACCACGUGCCCUGGAAUCAGUCACACAAAGGUUUGCUUCCCAUUUGUAGGCAUAAGGCCAGCCAAAGACAGGACCAGUGUUCACACAUGCCUCCCCUGGAAGACACUGCUUUAGGCUAAGUUAAGGGUUACACAUGCUUUGCCUGAAAAGCUGAAAACCAGGGUUUUACUCUCCAUGGUGACAUUCUCCCCAGAAAUGAACUGGUGAUGUUCAUUAAUCUGAAGCCUCAUUAAUGAGAUACAAAUAUAAAAUAUAGCUUCUCUACCAGUAACUGUCUUGUACCACUUGGACCUAAUUACAGAGAAUCUUGUUAAAAACAACUUGAAACCCUUAGAAAGCUAAAUAGUCAGAUAGUCAAUUAAAUAUAUUGCUAAGGUGUAAUGGAAAAAGUGAUGUGUUUCCUCCCAAUGUUGAACUAAUCUCACAUUCCUAUGCUUUGCUCACUACUGGCAACACCUUUUCUAAAAAUCAGUGUAUGUCUCUUCCCCUUCUGUUGAUCAAAUACCAUGUAUAGAAUCAUUUUCUCUCAAAUAGAACACAAAAAAACAAAUUGUGAAAGUAUUAUUUUCCAUAUUUCUCCCUUCAUUAUCUUACCUUUUCUCCUCCAACAUUGCAUAGAUGGCACCUUCCCUUUUUAAUUGAAACUGAUCGAUUGCAGCAUUUGCAGAAAUCGACAUAUCCUUUUGGAUUAACUUUUUCCCCCAUCACCCUCACCUAAGAUCUCUUAAUUUCUGAGCUCUUUAAGAAGCAGACCAUUACAAAAUAAAAAGGCCAAUGUCUUUGGUCUGGAUCAAAAUUUUUGUCCUAAGAAAAUAGGUUAUUUUGCCCAAAAUCAAUCACUCAAGUACUUUCAGAGUGCCCAGCACCAAGCUAGACGCUGCUGAGAUGCAGAGGAAGGUAUGAAGUGUGGCCCCUGCUUUCAGCCUAUUGUAAAGACUAUUAGUCACCCUUCCAGAGCUAAGCUGUGCAGGACUAAUAAUGCCAUUAGUUAAAAGCUCAUGGAACCAUGGAAGUGUGACCCAGAACAGACUUAAAAUAAUAAGGACACUAAAAAAAAAAUAAAGUAGUUCUUGUAAAUUGUAGUUAACAGUUGCCUGGUGCAUACUUAAAAACACCGAUAAGCAAAAAUUUUUAAAGCCUCAGUGAGGUUGUGUGGUUUUCAUCUUCCCCAUCAGCUCGGAUAUACAGGGAUCCCACAGAGGGUUGCAGAAGGAGCAGCCACAGAAAUAAACAGGAGCCUUUGCUAUCACAUGGCAAGCAAGUGUCGCAUCUCCUGAGCAUCCCAGGUAUCUGGGGCAGCCCCCUGACAAUGGAUGAAACGAUAUCACAUCCAGCCAGAAAACAACCCAGCAGAAACAGUGAGAUGACACAUAAACCCACAAGCUUGGCUCAUAAUGUGGAGCAGCAAUACAUGAGCAUACUGUACUUCUGCAGCCACUCUAGAGAAAGAAAAAGAGUAAAAUGUGUGAGAAAACACCAUUAAAUUACUCACUAUUAGCCCCUAAAGUGUGCUUCCAACCUAUGUGGACACACAUACACACAUGUACACACACACACUCUCACACACACACAUACAUGCAGGAGUAGAGAAUGUCACAGUUAAAUUUUUUACUAGUAUAAUGAGGAAAGGGACCAACUGAAGAAGCUCCCUGGGCUAAUUUUCUAGCCAGCAGCCACUGCAAUGUUCCCACUAGGAGAGUGAGAAGGAGGGAGAGCAAAGUAUAAUAAAUAAUGACUGGCUUUGCUGGUCAGGAGAAAUUAUCACUAUGCUUGAGGGAUCUAAGCAUAUGUUCACCCAGGAAUAUAUCAGGGGUGAAAACUGAGGCGAGGGAGAAAUGAAAGCCCAGAAUGGGUUGGACAUAUCUCCAGGACAUAUUUAUUUAAAUUUUUAAAAACGAAAAAACAAAUAGCAUCACCCAAAGUUACAUAUUGCUAAACCUAAAAAUGGCCAGUCACCCUUCUUCCCCUAAAUUUAAAUUGCUUUUUAACUUGUAGUUUUUUAUGGCUUUGUAGGGGGAAGUCUAGCUAUUUUACAUUUCUUGUAGACAUUUGCUCCAGUCUACUAUAUUUAUUUUGUGUCAGCUUUGUGUGUUAGCAGAGCAAAAGGCUCAGAAUGCUUACUCUGUGCUCACCUUCGGAGAUCUGCUCUAUAUAGUAGGAAAAUAGGACCUAGAAAAUUCAGGGAUAUGCAGAGGCAAAAUAUUACCCAGAUCAGGAAAGUCAGUGUUGCCCAUGUUUCAGAGCUAAAAUUUACUUUGAUGUGUCAUAAACAAAUAAGUCAGGAUCAAACCAGGGUGGGUUUGAAUGAUUACAGGAUAAACAGAAAGGCUAGGCCUUAUUCAUCUUUUAUGGCUUUUCUAAAAAAUUAAGGAAACAAAAUCUAUAUGUUGAAGGCUUUUCACUUAAUUGAUAGUCUGUGCCCAGUGUGUGAGCAUGUCUCUUACAUAUAAAGAAACUCAGACAGACUGGCAAUAUAUUCCUCAAUAAGCAGCAGAGUAACAGAGUCUGGUAUCUUCCUUCCUGAAACAACAAUGAUGACAAAAACACAAGAAACAAACAAUAACAGAAACCAAAAACAAGAAAAAGAAAAAAGACAAGACAUUGGACAUCAAACAAUGAAGAAAGUCAUACCUAAGAGAUGUGAAACAAAUGAAACAAGCCCUGUAAUUGACCCAAUAACAGGUUGGAGAGGAUUUUCUGGCUACAGUGCAGAGAGAGGGAGAGAACCUCAGGUGGAGCUUGAUGGCCUCCCCACGUUGACAAUACAAGGCUGGGAGUCUAAGGAGGCCAAGAGAGCUAUUGCUUACAGGGAAGAGUAACAUAGAGAAGUGAGCUGCACAGAAAGAAAGCCCAGGAGAUCUUUAGACCAAGAUCUCUCUUGAUUAUUUGGUUGAGUAAUAAGGAAUGCAUGCAUGUAAGGAAACCACCCAAAGCUACAGAAAGAGUCACCUCUUAAAAGGAAUAAUAUCUGUAGCUCAUAUACAGGCAGGAAUGAAGCCUGUUGCCAACAACCAUAAUGGAAAACUUCAUUAUUUGGGGCACUGGAUAGAGCAAUCCGAAUAAUUUUGCAACAAUAAUGGGAGAAAAAAAUUAACACUAGAUUGAGUCUAUCUAACAGAGCUUAAAAGCAAGACAUGAUAGGGUCAAACUAUCUCCAAGUAACUUAGUCACAUCAAAAAAAAGUUCAAGAAGAUUUAUAGGAGUACAAAAAUGUUCAGAACCCAAAAGAGUAAAAUUGACAAUGUCUGGCAUCCAAUCAAAAGUUACUAGACAUGUAAAAAAAAAAAAAAAAAAGGCACACAAUGAGAAGAAUAUGCAGUGAAUCAAAACUGUCCUAGAAAUGACAAUAUGAAAAAAUUAAUAGUCAGAACAUUAAAAUAAUUAUUAUAUCUAUGUUCAUAUAUAUAUACAUUCAUGAAGCCGAGAAAUGAUUGAACAUAAUAAGUACAGUUGUGAGGGAUACAGAAAGUUUCAUCUCAAACUUUCAGAGAUUAAAACUACCAUGUCUAAGAUUUUAAAAAAACAACCUGGAUGGGAUUAACAAUGAAUCCGAUGCUGCAAAUGAUUAAGGAACUUGAAUGCACAGCAACAGAAAAUACCAAAAAAUGAAACACAGAGAGAAAAGAAACUGAAGAAUAUAAAAUAAGCAGAGCAUCAGGGAGCUGUGGUACACCUUUAAAGUCACAGUAUUCAUUUUAUUAGGGUCUCUAAAGGAGAGGAGAAGCAGCAGGAACAGAACAAAUAAUUGAAGAUGAAGUAGUCAAAAAUCUUCCAAAUUUGAUGAAAACUAUAAACUCACAGUUCCAAGAAGUUCAGUGAAUCAGAAGCACAAGAAACAUGAAGAAACCACUUAAGGGCAUAUCAUAAUCAUAAUCAAAUUGCUUAAAACUAAUGAUACAGAGAAGAACUUCAAAGUAACGAGAAAAAGUACAGUAGGUAUGAAGAAAUAAAGAGAACAAUGACAGAACAUUUCUUAUCAGAAACAACUCAAAACAGAAGACAGUAGAAGAACAUCUUUAAAGCAUUGAAAGAAAAACUCUAAACCUAGAAGUCUUUACUUGCUAAAAAUAUCUUUCAAAAAUGAAUGUGGAAGAAAAAGUUUUUGAGGUAUAUAAAAGCUAACAGAAUUCAUCAAGUUUUCCAGGUAGAACAAAAAUGAUGCCAGAUGAAAAUUUCUAUCUAAACAAAAGAAUGAUGAGCAUCAAAAAAUGGUAACUAUGUGGGUAAAUACAAAUAGUUUCAUUACUUAAAUCUCCUUCAAACAGAAUCAACUCUUUAAAGCAAAAAUAAAACAAUCUAUUGUGUGAUGAAUAGCAUAUUGCUAUGGUUUCAAUAUUUGUACUCUCCAAAACUCUUGUUGAAAUUUAAUUGCCAUUGUAAUAGUAUUAUGAGGUGGGACAGUUAAGAGGUGAUUAGACCAUGAGGACUCCACCCUCACAGAUGGAUUAAUGUUGUUAUCUUGGGAGUGAGUUCACUAUAAAAGGGCACAUUUAGGCCCCUUUUUGCUCUUUCGCUCUUUUGCCUUUUGACAUGUGAUGAUCAAUAAGAAAGCCCUUACCAUGUGAUGCUGGCACCUUGAUAUUGGACUUCCCAGCCUCCAGAACUGUGAGCCAUUACAUUUCUAUUCAUUGUAAAUUACCUAGGCUCAGGUAUUCUGUUAUAGUGGCAGAAACAGACUAAGACACAUAAAUAGAAAUAAAAUGUGUAAUAACAAUAGCAAAAACCCCAAUUACCUUUGCACCAACCUAAUAACCUGUCCAGGAUUGAGUCUUUCAUACUUAAUGGUAACUGACCAGUCUAUCCAUGUAUUUUCCAAGGUGUGACCUGCAGAUCACUAGCUAUUUUAAAUUUUCCUUGAAAAGAGGAACUAUAUGGUCAAACAUAUUUAAGAAAUGCUAUGAACUACUUUCUCCUCUUACUGAAUUUCACUGAGUAAAAAAAUAUUAAGGACUCUGAGAAGUCUUGUAUUAGAGAAAGAUGUCUGUGUGCAAUCUAGCAGUUCCUAAAUUAUUUGUCUGAAGCAAAUAAUAUUGUGCUAUUCCACAGGAUAAAUGUGUGUGAACUUUUUCUAUUUAAUCAAUCUACAGAAGCAAAGCUUUUUACUUUAUAGUCAAAAGAUUAUCUCACAAUAAUGAUGGUCAUUAUGGUGGCUUCCUUCUCUUCCCCCAACCCCCACUGCCUGGUUUAUUGAAGUAAAAUUGACUUACAAUAAGCUGUACAUAUUUAAAGUGUGCAAUUCGAUAAGGUUUGAUUUAUGUAUAUACACCCAUGAAACUGUCAUCAGAAUUAAGAUAUUGAAAAUAUCUAUCAUCCCUAAGUUUUGUUACGGUCCUUUGUAAUCCCUCUCUCCUAGAUAAUCUUGAAUACAAAGCAAUAAGAGCAGACAACAUUGUCCACUCUUUUUUGAGGGUUGGACCCUCAAACUUUAAUGUGCAUGUGACUCACCCAGGAUUCUUGUUCAAAUGCAGACUCAGAUUCAGUAAGUCUGUGGGUAGGGUCUGAGUGUCUACAUUUCUAACAAGCUCUCCAGUGAUGCUCCAGUGGUACUAAUGGUGCUCACACAUCAAAACCAGCACCAAGUUCAGUAUUCACAUAUAAAUUGCUGCCUUGGAAACAGUUUCCACUUUAAAAAUAUUUAAAAACAAUAUUAAGUUUGUCCUAGUUAUUACUCAUGGAAAAUACCAUAGAUAGAGUUAGAUAAAAAUCAGUCUAACAAUAACACAACUCCUUCCAAAGCCCAUGAGGAAACUAAAUAUCCUACUAAUAAAGGGCAUGAAAAAUCUUAGAAGAGAAAUGUUGCAAGUAAUUUCUUCAUCUUAUAUCUUAAAAUGAAUAUUGAAGACAAGCUCUUUUAAUUAUUCACAAGAAAUCUUCCACAAUGGAAUAGUGAGAAAAUAUCUGACAAAUAUCAUCAUCAUCAUCAUCAUCAUCAAAUUGCUGUAUCAUACCUUGUGUUUAAAACUAUCUUCCUAAUUUAAUAAAACUUGCUUAACUUUGGUCAAAAUACCUUAUCUAUGCUUAAAUUACACAAAACUCCUAAACAUUAUUUUCUUUAAUUGCACAAUUUGUCUGCAUAGCAAAAAAGCUUAAAAGGCAAUACCAGAAUGGAAUUGGUUUGGUCAUAAUCAAUAGCAUCUUAAUGGAGGAUUUAAGUACUAUAAUUCCCCUGAAUGUAGAAGAAAACCUGGUAUGAAAUAAAAACCCUUUGAAGAGCUAUUUUGCAUGGCAUAAAGAGUUCUCACCAACAACCUUAUCUGAAUGUAUUAGAUAAUUUUGGACUUUUAAUGUUGAUUUCUACUAGGUAGAUUACAUUUGCAUGAAUUUAUAAUGAAAAUACCUCUAGGCCUAAGUCUUCCUAUUCAUAAAUGCAUGGCCUGGAUCCUGUAAGUGCCAGUUUACUGGGUCACUAGCAUAGCACUCUCAGCAUCAAGAUCUUUCUCCAUUUUAAGCCUUUCAGUAACCAGUGUGCUCUGCUCUCCCUGCUGUGCCAUCAAUAGGAGGAGAGACAGGGCAGCUUUGCAGAACACAGACUAUGCCCUACCUGCAACAGAAACAAAACAUGAUCUGAGCUAGCACUAACAAUGUCCAGAGUUACCAUCAUCUAAGGAAAAGUUUCAUACAAUAAAAAUGACUGCAUAAAAUUUCAC
rnacentral:lncRNA from 10 species